ensembl:lincRNA
UGGUCUGUGGUUACAGGGCAGCUUCCCCCGGGUCAUCCCCCCCGACUGCGUCAUAGUCGACUCAGACAACUUCAAGUUCAUCGUGGACCCGUGUGAGGAGGCCCAGGGCCCAGGUGGGUGCUGCACAGGGCUCCCCGCUCAGGCACACGCUGGCCUCCGCCUCCUGCUGGCCUGCGGUGGUGGGUAGCAGCUGGUACCCGCCUCCUUGAGGUGCUGAAAUCAGCAUACGUGCUUGCCCUGUUUCGGCUUUAAAUAUUUUAAUUUGUUGGGGUUUUCUCUCUUGCUAGCCUGGUUCUACCAUAACCCUACUGGCGCAUGGCAGGGCACUGACAUAUCCGCCCGCCUUCGCUGUGACCCCUCCCCAGGGACCCCGGCCCUGCGCACCCGUGUGUGACAGAGCACGUCAUGUGUCUCCGCCCCAUUCUCCUUGUAGAAAUGCUGACUCCUGUCUCCAUCACCCAAGAAAUUUUGGAAAGAUUCCAAGACACAUUCACGUCGCGAUGGGUGGGACAUCUGGGAAGCAGGCAGUUUCCCAGCCAGGCCCAGUGGGAGCAGGCCCUGGGCAGCUGCAGCGGCUUCUUCUUCUAUGGGAUGGAGCACUUCCUGUCCCAUGUAGUAGUGGAGAGAUUGGUCGCCAUGAACUUGCAAGAGUGCCAGGUGCUGGUCCUGCUGGACCUGGCUCGGUCCUACCAGAGCAUGAGGCGGCACGUGGAGAGCUCGGAGUACAGGAGGUGCCUGGCUGCCCGGGGGAGGAGGUGCAGAGGGCGGAGAGGUCAGAUGGGGGGCAGGGGGUGCCACAGGAGAGCAGGGACUCAGGGGACGGGUUUCAAGAACUGUGAGAGCCGCUGGGGCGCACGUGCAUUCCAUCAAUUGGGCAGAUGCGUGUGCAUAGGGAGGGGCGGCUCAGCUGGGCCCCCUGGCGCCAGCCCACAGGAGCCGGGUCCCCGCAGCGCCUCAAAGCCGUCCCUGGAGGAUCCUGUCGACGUGGCCAUCCUGCUGAGCCUGGUGGGGGUCAAGAGCAUCCUGGAGAACCAGUGGUCCACACUGCUGCAGGACAACGCGCUGCGGGCCAGCGUCCUUUGGGAAAAUCUGUUGGCCGUCGGGAAGCCAGUUGGAGAAACGGUGCGCCUCCUUCAGGAGAUGAGCGGCGAUGAGGCGGUGAACCAAGGUGAGGGGGGCGGCCGGCACGUCCUUCAGCGCCCUCCGCAGCCACUGCCCGUGGGACACGUGCUCCCCACAGCCCUCCAGGGACACGUGUCUCGGCUUCCCCGUGGGGAACUGGGAUUCCAGACACUAGCUAGGAGCCAGAAAGAGGAGGGCUUGUUCUCGCCUGGAAGUUGCCUGCGUCUCUGCACUGCCCCAGCCCCCCGCAGUGGCGCAAGCCUCAGCAGUGACGCCCGCAAUGCCGUGGCUCCGGAACCCAGAGGGAAAGCGUCGCGGUCAUCAGAGACCGCGACAGCUCCAGUCACGCGAACCCCACGAGCCUGGGGCUCUCUGGGAACCAGUGAGAAAUCCAGGGGGCAGCUGUGCCAGGCCCCUCCCACAGCGAGGGCCGGACAUCCCCUGGAUGUGGCCAGGAGUCCCCCCCUGGGAAGAGGCCUCCUGGAAGAGGAAUGCAUGGGCCGAGGGUGGAGAGCAGCCUGACUGUCACAUCACACCCAGCGCCUGUCCCUCUCACGGCCUCACAGGGGAAACGUCGGGAAGGGGCACAGGACAUGGUCUGUUCUCAAACACGGACAGGCGGAACCCCACCCACUCAUCCUUCAGAGUCAGCAAAACCCUCCUGCCGUGGUGGGGGGAAGCGCAGAGAGGAGCUUCACGGGACCCUGAGUCGAAGCGCUCAGCAGCGCACGGAAGGGGUGGUCUGCCCCGCCUA